AGCGAACGCUGGCGGCGUGCUUAACACAUGCAAGUCGAACGGUGAACCUCUUCGGAGGGGAUCAGUGGCGAACGGGUGAGUAAAACGUGGGCAACCUGCCCCCGGCUCUGGGAUAACUCCAAGAAAUUGGGGCUAAUACCACAUUUUCACCGCUUCCCGCAUGGGUGGUGGUGGAAAGGGUUUGCGGCUUGGGAUGGGCCCGCUGCCUAGCAGCUGGUUGGUGGGGUAGUGGCCUUCGAAGGCGACGACGGGUAGCCGGCAUGGGAGGGUGACCGGCCACACGGGGACUACGAGAGGGCCCAGACGCCAACGGGAGGCAGCAGGGGGGAAUCUUGCGCAAGGGGCCGACGCCUGACGAAGAGACGUUCGGUGGGGAAUGACGGCCUUCGGGUUGUAAACAUCUUUAAGCAGGGACGACGCGGAAGUGACGGUACCUGCAGAAGAAGCACCGGCUAACUACGUG
rnacentral:rRNA from 1 species